rnacentral:rRNA from 1 species
ACACGUAAGGGGCAAGCGUUGUUCGGAAUUAUUGGGCGUAAAGGGCGCGUAGGCGGUUUUACAAGUCUGGUGUGAAAGACCUCAGCUUAACUGAGGGACCGCGCUGGAAACUGUAAGACUAGAAUCUAGGAGGGGAAGCUGGAAUUCCUGGUGUAGGGGUGAAAUCUGUAGAUAUCAGGAAGAACACCGGUGGCGAAGGCGAGCUUCUGGCCAUAGAUUGACGCUGAGGCGCGAAAGCGUGGGGAGCGAACAGGAUUAGAAACCCUUGUAGUCC